rnacentral:rRNA from 1 species
GACGAACGCUGGCGGCGUGCUUAACACAUGCAAGCCGAACGGUAAGGCCCUUCGGGGUACACGAGUGGCGAACGGGUGAGUAACACGUGGGUGAUCUGCCCUGCACUUCGGGAUAAGCCUGGGAAACUGGGUCUAAUACCGGAUAGGACUCCGGACUGCAUGGUCUGGGGUGGAAAGCUUUUGCGGUGUGGGAUGGGCCCGCGGCCUAUCAGCUUGUUGGUGGGGUAAUGGCCUACCAAGGCGACGACGGGUAGCCGACCUGAGAGGGUGAUCGGCCACACUGGGACUGAGACACGGCCCAGACUCCUACGGGAGGCAGCAGUGGGGAAUAUUGCACAAUGGGCGCAAGCCUGAUGCAGCGACGCCGCGUGAGGGAUGACGGCCUUCGGGUUGUAAACCUCUUUCACCAGGGACGAAGCGUGAGUGACGGUACCUGGAGAAGAAGCACCGGCCAACUACGUGCCAGCCGCCGCAGUAA